rnacentral:rRNA from 1 species
GAUGAACGCUGGCGGCGUGCUUAACACAUGCAAGUCGAACGAUGAAGCCCAGCUUGCUGGGUGGAUUAGUGGCGAACGGGUGAGUAACACGUGAGUAACCUGCCCUUAACUCUGGGAUAAGCCUGGGAAACUGGGUCUAAUACCGGAUAGGAGCGUCCACCGCAUGGUGGGUGUUGGAAAGAUUUAUCGGUUUUGGAUGGACUCGCGGCCUAUCAGCUUGUUGGUGAGGUAAUGGCUCACCAAGGCAACGACGGGUAGCCGGCCUGAGAGGGUGACCGGCCACACUGGGACUGAGACACGGCCCAGACUCCUACGGGAGGCAGCAGUGGGGAAUAUUGCACAAUGGGCGCAAGCCUGAUGCAGCGACGCCGCGUGAGGGAUGACGGCCUUCGGGUUGUAAACCUCUUUCAGUAGGGAAGAAGCGAAAGUGACGGUACCUGCAGAAGAAGCACCGGCUAACUACGUG